ACGUGUGUGUGCGAGCGCGCGUGUGUGUGUUUUUGUUUUUUAGAGCCAAGAAGAUUUGCUUUGGUUUUUUUAAAGCAGAAACCACCACAAAGUUGGCUGUGGUUUCAGCUGCGCUCGUUCGAGAUUUGUACUUGCUGACUACCAAUCCUAAAAGAGUUAACCUAGUAAGGAUGACUCAGAAGCAGAGAAGGAGAUGCGAGGCUCCGAGCCUCGCAGGAAGCAGAGAAACAGAGGUGAGGAACAUAAUAAUUACCAAAAAAAGGUGCAGAGUCCAGGAGCGACGCUCCCCUCGGUUUGCCUGGCCCUGGCACCGCUGGCACGGGCUCCCUGGAAAGCUGCAGUUCCGCUCUUAUAACACAGGGAGCAGGCUGGAGAAUUUAGAGCUGCGUCACAGAGCUCAGCGAGAGAGUGAGAGAGCAAGCUCCGUCGAUAGGUCUUACCAGCAACAGCCCUGCUGCAGCAAGAGGGGAGAGAGGCAGCAAGAGAGGCAGAGAGGGCUCCAAAAAGAGAAGUAACGCUAACACCAGGGACUGUGCUCCUGCCACCAUCCAGUGUCCUUUAAAGAUCGCAUUCGGGCUCGCUUGGCGUAGGAGGCUUCGCCCAUUGACGAUGCUGGAGACCCGGCGCGCUUAAUCCCACGGGGAGGGAGAGUGGGCAGACACCAAAAGGGUUAACGGAAAGGAAAUUUCUGGAACCUUCUAUUCUGCGGCGCUACACAGCGAGCGGAGGGCUGAGGACUGCGCAGAUGGUGCACGGGCAGAGCUCUUCGGUCCGGUUCGUCUUUCUCACUGACCAGCAAUGAAGAUGGCAACUCUGCCUGGAAGUGCUGAGGACACAACCAGCUUUGAGCUUGGUCCUUCUGGCCGAGGAAGCCUCCUGAUUAUGCAGUGGAGUGGUAACUUUGCUUUCUCAUGCGGCAGGGAACGUUUUUCCAUAGCCUUUCAUCAUACUGAGGCUUAAACAAGUUUAAAGAUAGGGUAGCAUAAGCAUUUAAUCUGUAUUACUCACUCGCUGACCUCUCAAGUGUCAGGUCCGGUUGUUUAGCAACAACUGCUGGGUUCAGAACCAGCUCAAACAUGCUGCGUCCGCCGUCUCCAUUACUUCAGCGUAGCCUGUCCUGUGAGUGAGAGGGAGAGAGAGAGAAGGGCUGUAUUUACACACAUACACCCACCCUGACCAAAUUUUGGUUACAAAAGCCAUAAAGGCCGUAGGCGCUGCGGUUUUAUCCUCGGCUCCGCUCUUUUGCGCAGUGCCAUAGACGGGAGGACGCCAUUCCCAACAGCAGUGCGGAGCUAGGAGCAGGGAGGGAAGGAGAAAACAGACAGUAGGUGCCACUCCCUAGUUUUCCAGCCCCUCAUUCCCAUCUCCACCUUUCUUGCCUCUCCCUUUUUGUGCCAGAUUCCAUAGGGAAUUUCAGACUCUUACUGCAGUCGUCACAACCCCUCCUGACUCACUGAGCCUUCACUGGCUUUAGCUGGCUCCCUUGGAGCAUCCUUGCCUCCUGCAGCGCCAGUUCCGCAGAGCAGGGGAACAACAGGAAUAGCAGCAACAACGGUGGUCCCUGCAGCAAGACAGACAGGCAUAAAAACACACAAAGAUAGGAACAGGGCAGUCAUAGAGGUAAAUCUGUACAGCCAGGAGAUGGACUGAGAAACAGUGAUCUGUGGCAUAGAAGAUGGGUGGGUGGUACAGACAACCCUUUGCAUAGUUCCCCAUCACACCUGUGGGGGGAAGGACCCAGUUAAUUUGCAAAGCUGUUGUCUCUUCCAACCUGGCAUUCUAUGACAUUUCCCAGUCCUUCUAACCGAGGUGAAACUGGCAGUCAGUGCACUUGUUUGGGCAUAUACGUACUUCUUGAGUAUCUGUGUGCAGUGUUGGGAUGCAUUUGGUUUGAUUUCUUUUACUACCAUCUUUCUGCCACAGCGCUAGUUUAAUUGCGUCUAACUGCAGGGAGGGUAAGGAGACAGAGAUAAAAGAGGAGUUAUUUCAAUGUUAAACUUCAGCUGUAAAUCUCAUUACUCAGGAAUUGAGGUUACUGUCAGCAGGUAAAUCUGUGGGACUGGCAAGAAACAAGGCUAAGAAGGGGACGGACAUGGCAUAUUUCUGUAGGACAGUAGCGAUUUUGUGCAUGGGAUGGUGGUGGUGUUGUACGUGGCUAACUGUUCCAUAAUGGCUUUCUGCGUAUUGAUGCAAAAGCACUUGGGCAAGCUGUGAUUUCUUCCUCCCUCUGACACUGUGUGUGUGUGACAUUGUGUAAGCUGAUUCAUUUCUUCUAGAGUUUGGUUUCCUUCCUUUGCAAAGUGGGGUUUAUUCUACCUCUCUGCCUUAGUGCGGCAUAAUGACGCAGUGUUUAACGCGCUGGGGCUGUUGGCAAAAUACGUGCAAUUUUCGUGGGCAUUUUGAUUGUUGAAGGACUGCAAAAUUUGGUAAAGGAAGUUACGGAUUGCAAAUGCUCAUGACAUAAAUUUAAAAGCAUUACCAUCUUCUUCUUCGCUGCUAUCGAGGGAAGGCUCUCUGAAUGACACGACAGCCAUGAUCUCCUGCUGCACUUGUUUUGCCGAUGGUCAUGUUACAUCUGUGACGCAGCCCGAUUUUGCUGUUGGCUCCUUUCUGUGCUUUAUGGAGUUGAGCUGAGGAAGGCACAAGCUUGAAUACGGUCACCACUUGCACUGUCACACCCCUCUGUCCUGCACCUGGCCUUGCUCUGACUCAUUCCUUGACUGAGGAUGAUGCAUCAAGCUCCAAUUCUCUGUAUGUACAACGGGAACGCUUUCUGUAGGGGAGACCAGAGCGUGAUGAACCAUGAGUUUCACUCCACGGUUUGCACACAGGGUUAUAGAGAGAUCUGUUUUGCUGUAGGUUGUAAAAAAUCAGCUCUGUGACAUCAAGCUUGCCUUGCUCCUGCAGACUAGAUUAAAGGUCUUGGGCUAGGGAGGAAGAUCCCUUUAUGGGGGAGGCCAGGAUUUCUUCCCUUUCUGCCUUUGUCUCGUGUAGAAUGUAUAAAGCAGUGUGGAGUCCAUGAAAGGCUUUGAGAUGUUCCUCUGAAAGAAGCUACAGAACAGUACUGCUACUAAAAUGUGUUUCAAAAAGGAGCAAGAAAACAGAAUCAUAAUAUUGUACUUUUCCUACUGUUAUGUAUUGAAAACUCCAGAACCCACUGACAAAGCCAGCUAUAGCUGAUAGUACUUGCUUGUCUCCACACAUAUGUGUGUGUCCAUAUGUACACCCUGAACACACACCCAGCAAAUGUCUGAGAUGAGCACUGAUUUAUUUUUCUGCAUGGGUGGUAUUAACAGUUGAGUGCUGUGUAUCACAGGGUCUUGAACUACUUUCUUUUCCUCCUUCCCUUUGCAUGCUGCCUGCCCAAGCACGCUGCUAGGUUUGGAAAGAACAGCCUACACUGGCAGAGAUGUAUCCCUCAUAAAAAGUGUACCUGCAGUUUGGCAGAAAGGGCUGACAUCUUCUGGCUGCUUGCAGUGAAGGGGGAGCUUGUCAAGGCUAUAAGACAAGCUUCAGGUGGUCUGGAGGAAGGGCAGCAGCACUGUAAUUAUGCUGAAGUGAAACAUGGUUUUAUCAGACUAACAAAUGAGGCACUGGUCAUCGACUGCUGCAUGGGAUUUCUUGGAGAGGUUAGUCUCCUUUGGAGAGGGGAAGGUAUGCAUGGGUGUUCAGACCCAGUUCAGACUGCUGACAGAAGAGAGACUGAAAUGAGCUCUUAGGCAGAAGCUCUUCCCUGUGAGGGUGCUGAGGCACUGGCAUAGGAUGCCCAGAGAAGCUGUGGCUGCCCCAUCCCUGGCAGUGUUCAAGGCCAGGUUGGACACAGGGCCUUGGAGCAAGCUGCUCUAGUGGAAGGUGUCCCUGCCUGUGGCAGGGGGCUGGAAUUGGAUGAGGUUUAAGCUCCCUUCCAAACCAUUCCAUGAUUCUAUACCUCUAAGAGAAGCUCUCAUUUUGAGCAGCACAAACAUAACUGACAUUUCCACCAACUGUUUUCUAAAACCCUAAUAUAAAGAUUUCUUUUUACUGUUAAGCCACAUGCUUACUACCAAGACAAGAAAAAACCAAAGCAACCCCCACUUGCAGCCUGUUUCUGAAAGAUGCUGCUGUGGUACUUUAUCUGGGCUGCAACCAAGCUCUUGUCAGCAGUAACUCUCAGUCCAGCUUUUCACUGGUACGUGUUAACACUGAUAUUACAGGGUGCCUCAUAAAUAACUGUGCCAGCAAGACAGACACUGGGGAGGGAACCUGCUUUCCACUUGUCUUUCACCCUGUUGCCCCAGAUAAUGGAUUUAGAAACUACAGUAAAUAUGCAGACUGUAAUCUAGUACAGUUCUUUCCCCUUCCUCCACCCCACUUUCUUGGAAGGACAUGCUCUUUUUCUCUGAGCUUUCCUCUGCUGCCUGUGGGUGUGCAUUAGGAUGUAGGCACUGAAGCAGAUUCUUGGAUCUGGUUACAAAACUAAUGCAAAGAGCUGCCAAAAACCCAGGGCAUCAAUAAGUGAAACUCCCAGCUCCAGUUCUGCUGCACUCCAUUCCAUUUUACAUCAGCUUCUGCAUCAUCAAAGGUGAGACAUGGUGGCCAGGCUUUGGUAGAUCCUGAGUUAUGCAUGUGUGGAGUCAUACGCAGAGGUAAGACACCCCAUCUAUUCCCACUGUACAAUGCCGGGUGACUACCACGGGCUGUGCUGCACUAGAGCACUGCUCAGCCCUACUCCCAUUCCAGUAACCAUCAGCCACUAGCUUUCACACUCUCCUACUUCCUCGACAACUUUUGCUGAACCAUUUACAGUUUGAUUUGCAAAUGCUCCUUUUUUAGGUUUUGUUCUGACCCACACUUGGAGUAGUUUCCAUGCAAUUUAUUUUCGUUACCCCUAUAUGAAUUCCAAACUUGUCUCACUAAACUCCACAACUCCUUGCUUAUUACAAGCAUGCUAAUUGCAGGCUGCAUGAUACAGCUGACAGAGGCAGUUCCAUCACGAUAGUCACAUUUCCUUCCCCUGUCCCAAAGCACCUCAUCUGUCCUGUCCUCUCUGCUGAUGCUGAGCUCAGGAAGCAAUGGAAAGCCACACCACUUUCUCCCUUGGACAGAAUGAGGUUUAUAGCCUGGUUCCAUGGCAGUGGCGUGAAGAAAGCGUUCUGUACAACACAAACUCAUCACCCAGCACUAUCAUACUGCACUUCAGGAGCCUUUUUCACUGCUUGCUGGUCAAGAGCUUCAGCAUAUUCCACCUGGCUGUGAAAGGAAAUGAGUUACUGCCAGAGUGGUGGGUUUCUUCAUCACAUAUUUUCCUCCUACACCAGGCUCAACUAUUCAUAAGAUGCUAAAAAAAAUCUGUGCCAAUAAAGUAACUAACCCAAAGUUCACUGUCUUCCUUUCUAAUCAAAUUCAAUAAAUGAAUUUUUCUUUAGGUACGAUGGAGAUGAAGGAUUUUCUCUCUCAGUCUGCAGCCAAGCACCAGAUGUGUCUUCCUCUGGAAGCUGGUUUCACAUGGUGGCUUAGAUUUUCCCACUUUGUAUCUAGCACCAUUUGAAAUCAGUGUUCUAGGAGCAAGAAUUACAGCGUGGGAAGAGAGCAAGCAGCUGCUGAAUGCACCAAUGGCCUCUACUCCUUAAACCAGCACUUUCCCCACUGGCUAUUUUUUUGCCAGCCAUCCACUUUGUAACAUCAUCUGACUUCUAGACACUCAUACAAGCACUGUAUGCACCCUCUCAAGCUAGGGCCACCACAGAACAGCUGCCUUCCAAUGUAUUUCUACUUAAUAAACAAUGGAUAUGAGUUCAAGUUGUCCAGAGUAAAGUGAUCCAAAAGUUGCAUCAAAACCAAUGCAGUACUUCUUGCACCUUCACAGGCAGAGUGUGUUUCCUUUAUUAUACAGUCACUCAGAUCCUAACAUUUACUUAAAGCAAAUGUAUUUCCACUCUGUGCCUGGGGACUCUGUGGCCAUAGAACUUAUCAUUCCGUAGCUCCCUGAGACUUGCAAACACAGAACAACCUGAAGUCAGCAGUUAAACACAAAAGUGCCUUCAGCAAUCAUGCUGCUGUCAUGCUGGUACCCACAGAAUCUACUCGAAGUUUAUUACCGGUAACUUGUAGUACUGUUUCUGUAGUCUUCUAUCCCCUUGAAUCCAAACCACUAAAACGAAGCUAAACUAUUUCUUGUUCAACCUCACCAUUGUCAAACAUUCUACACAGAACAGACGAUCGCUGUGUGGAUGAAGCGUUUGAUCAGAGCACUGAAUAGUCAACUUUAAAGAACAUGUAGCUGCCAUCUACAAGAGGAUCCUUCUCUGAGCCAGGAAAAUGUCUCUUACACAGGCUGACCGAUUUCUCUUGGUGUUCAGAGUCUCAGUUUUUGUCUAGCACCAUUUGAAAUCGGUUAUGAUGUAGGGGGAAAAGCAACAGUAAUGGAAAACUUCAUUCCCCCGCCCCCCAAAGUCCUUAGAGACAAACACCACCAAAGGCACAGACUUCACUAACACGGUAUGCUUUUCUGUUCUCCGACCUGAAGUUACACCUGGCCAUCCUGCUCAGAAGGAGGACAGUCAGCAUCACGCUCAACUAGGAGGGAUGCUUCAAGAGAAAGUGAAGCAUCUGUUCAAACACCUCACUCAGAUUCUUCAACUCAAGCAAGCCAGGGCCCAUGUGUCAGCAGAGCCUCCUAACCUUGACUGGUUAUAUUCCAUGUGCUAUUUGUUUGCCUUAACCUGUUAUUUACUCAGAUCUUUUUUUUCCUUUGAAAUAAAAUUGUGUCCUACUUGGUAUCAAGCUCUGUCUCAGGCAGACAGAUGACAUGUUCCCUGCAGGACAAUA